rnacentral:rRNA from 1 species
GGGUUGUGAGGUUAAGCGACUAAGCGUACACGGUGGAUGCCCUGGCAGUCAGAGGCGAUGAAGGACGUGCUAAUCUGCGAUAAGCGUCGGUAAGGUGAUAUGAACCGUUAUAACCGGCGAUUUCCGAAUGGGGAAACCCAGUGUGUUUCGACACACUAUCAUUAACUGAAUCCAUAGGUUAAUGAGGCGAACCGGGGGAACUGAAACAUCUAAGUACCCCGAGGAAAAGAAAUCAACCGAGAUUCCCCCAGUAGCGGCGAGCGAACGGGGAGCAGCCCAGAGCCUGAAUCAGUGUGUGUGUUAGUGGAAGCGUCUGGAAAGGCGCGCGAUACAGGGUGACAGCCCCGUACACAAAAAUGCACAUGCUGUGAGCUCGAUGAGUAGGGCGGGACACGUGGUAUCCUGUCUGAAUAUGGGGGGACCAUCCUCCAAGGCUAAAUACUCCUGACUGACCGAUAGUGAACCAGUACCGUGAGGGAAAGGCGAAAAGAACCCCGGCGAGGGGAGUGAAAAAGAACCUGAAACCGUGUACGUACAAGCAGUGGGAGCACGCUUAGGCGUGUGACUGCGUACCUUUUGUAUAAUGGGUCAGCGACUUAUAUUCUGUAGCAAGGUUAACCGAAUAGGGGAGCCGAAGGGAAACCGAGUCUUAACUGGGCGUUAAGUUGCAGGGUAUAGACCCGAAACCCGGUGAUCUAGCCAUGGGCAGGUUGAAGGUUGGGUAACACUAACUGGAGGACCGAACCGACUAAUGUUGAAAAAUUAGCGGAUGACUUGUGGCUGGGGGUGAAAGGCCAAUCAAACCGGGAGAUAGCUGGUUCUCCCCGAAAGCUAUUUAGGUAGCGCCUCGUGAAUUCAUCUCCGGGGGUAGAGCACUGUUUCGGCAAGGGGGUCAUCCCGACUUACCAACCCGAUGCAAACUGCGAAUACCGGAGAAUGUUAUCACGGGAGACACACGGCGGGUGCUAACGUCCGUCGUGAAGAGGGAAACAACCCAGACCGCCAGCUAAGGUCCCAAAGUCAUGGUUAAGUGGGAAACGAUGUGGGAAGGCCCAGACAGCCAGGAUGUUGGCUUAGAAGCAGCCAUCAUUUAAAGAAAGCGUAAUAGCUCACUGGUCGAGUCGGCCUGCGCGGAAGAUGUAACGGGGCUAAACCAUGCACCGAAGCUGCGGCAGCGACGCUUAUGCGUUGUUGGGUAGGGGAGCGUUCUGUAAGCCUGCGAAGGUGUGCUGUGAGGCAUGCUGGAGGUAUCAGAAGUGCGAAUGCUGACAUAAGUAACGAUAAAGCGGGUGAAAAGCCCGCUCGCCGGAAGACCAAGGGUUCCUGUCCAACGUUAAUCGGGGCAGGGUGAGUCGACCCCUAAGGCGAGGCCGAAAGGCGUAGUCGAUGGGAAACAGGUUAAUAUUCCUGUACUUGGUGUUACUGCGAAGGGGGGACGGAGAAGGCUAUGUUGGCCGGGCGACGGUUGUCCCGGUUUAAGCGUGUAGGCUGGUUUUCCAGGCAAAUCCGGAAAAUCAAGGCUGAGGCGUGAUGACGAGGCACUACGGUGCUGAAGCAACAAAUGCCCUGCUUCCAGGAAAAGCCUCUAAGCAUCAGGUAACAUCAAAUCGUACCCCAAACCGACACAGGUGGUCAGGUAGAGAAUACCAAGGCGCUUGAGAGAACUCGGGUGAAGGAACUAGGCAAAAUGGUGCCGUAACUUCGGGAGAAGGCACGCUGAUAUGUAGGUGAAGUCCCUCGCGGAUGGAGCUGAAAUCAGUCGAAGAUACCAGCUGGCUGCAACUGUUUAUUAAAAACACAGCACUGUGCAAACACGAAAGUGGACGUAUACGGUGUGACGCCUGCCCGGUGCCGGAAGGUUAAUUGAUGGGGUUAGCCGCAAGGCGAAGCUCUUGAUCGAAGCCCCGGUAAACGGCGGCCGUAACUAUAACGGUCCUAAGGUAGCGAAAUUCCUUGUCGGGUAAGUUCCGACCUGCACGAAUGGCGUAAUGAUGGCCAGGCUGUCUCCACCCGAGACUCAGUGAAAUUGAACUCGCUGUGAAGAUGCAGUGUACCCGCGGCAAGACGGAAAGACCCCGUGAACCUUUACUAUAGCUUGACACUGAACAUUGAGCCUUGAUGUGUAGGAUAGGUGGGAGGCUUUGAAGUGUGGACGCCAGUCUGCAUGGAGCCGACCUUGAAAUACCACCCUUUAAUGUUUGAUGUUCUAACGUUGACCCGUAAUCCGGGUUGCGGACAGUGUCUGGUGGGUAGUUUGACUGGGGCGGUCUCCUCCUAAAGAGUAACGGAGGAGCACGAAGGUUGGCUAAUCCUGGUCGGACAUCAGGAGGUUAGUGCAAUGGCAUAAGCCAGCUUGACUGCGAGCGUGACGGCGCGAGCAGGUGCGAAAGCAGGUCAUAGUGAUCCGGUGGUUCUGAAUGGAAGGGCCAUCGCUCAACGGAUAAAAGGUACUCCGGGGAUAACAGGCUGAUACCGCCCAAGAGUUCAUAUCGACGGCGGUGUUUGGCACCUCGAUGUCGGCUCAUCACAUCCUGGGGCUGAAGUAGGUCCCAAGGGUAUGGCUGUUCGCCAUUUAAAGUGGUACGCGAGCUGGGUUUAGAACGUCGUGAGACAGUUCGGUCCCUAUCUGCCGUGGGCGCUGGAGAACUGAGGGGGGCUGCUCCUAGUACGAGAGGACCGGAGUGGACGCAUCACUGGUGUUCGGGUUGUCAUGCCAAUGGCACUGCCCGGUAGCUAAAUGCGGAAGAGAUAAGUGCUGAAAGCAUCUAAGCACGAAACUUGCCCCGAGAUGAGUUCUCCCUGACUCCUUGAGAGUCCUGAAGGAACGUUGAAGACGACGACGUUGAUAGGCCGGGUGUGUAAGCGCAGCGAUGCGUUGAGCUAACCGGUACUAAUGAACCGUGAGGCUUAACCUUACAACGCCGAAGCUGUU